rnacentral:sRNA from 1 species
UGGUGACGGCUCGAUGCCCGCGGCGGCUUU